rnacentral:rRNA from 1 species
GCAGUAGCCGCGGUAAUACGUAGGGUGCGAGCGUUAAUCGGAAUUACUGGGCGUAAAGCGUGCGCAGGCGGUUCGUUAAGACAGAUGUGAAAUCCCCGGGCUUAACCUGGGAACUGCAUUUGUGACUGGCGAGCUAGAGUAUGGCAAAGGGGGGUAGAAUUCCACGUGUAGCAGUGAAAUGCGUAGAGAUGUGGAGGAAUACCGAUGGCGAAGGCAGCCCCCUGGGCCAAUACUGACGCUCAUGCACGAAAGCGUGGGGAGCAAACAGGAUUAGAUACCCGUGUAGUCCCUGUCUCUUAUAU